GCAGGCUGCGUGUCACAGUGGGGGCCUCGGAGCUGAGCAGGCAGCCAGAGGGAUGGAGCGCCUGAAGCUCCCCAAAGUUUCCAACCUGCUGGGCAGAGCACGCGCUGACAAGCCCUUCCGGCUCUCCUCUCCCCUGCGCAGACAAGCUAGUCAGGCUCUCCCCUCCCCCGCGCAGCAAGCUCCGUGCAAACCCUGCGGCCCCUUCAGCAGCCCUCUCGCUGCAAGGAAGCAUCUCAGACCUCCUGCCUUUCCCUGGAGCCAGAGCAGCCGGGUGUGGAUCCCGUCCUCCACAAACGGCCCGGAAUGUCAAGUCUCUCAAGGACUCCGCCUGUCAGAGCUGCCCAUCCUCCAGAGCACCGCACAAGUUGUGAACUAGUAAGACAUUCUUGAAAGGAGUGGAAAGGGAGGUGGUGUUCCGAAUGGCUUCUGGGAGACAGUCCUGCUCACAUCACUUUACUUAAGAUGCAGUUCUUCCUGCCUGUUACCAUGUCGUCUACAGCUGGGUCUGCGUGCUAAGUUAGUUGCUCAGUUUGCAAAAUCACCUCGUCAGAUCUGAAGGAGGAAAGACAGCACAUAGGCCUGGGCCUUUUAGUAUGUUAAAGUGAAUCUUACACAUGGCUACAAAUGAUUAGCGUCACUGAACAUGUGCCACUCUUCCCCAUCUGGGGAACAGCAACUGAUCUGUGGAGAUAUCAUGUGGUUUUUGUCCUUUUUGUUGAUGUAGUGGAUGAUGUAUAAUAAUCUAUUUUUAGUUAGGCCUUUGUCUUAAAGCUUUUGUGAAUCCCUAAAUUUCUAAUAGUCCUAUUAAUACAUAAUUUUUGCCAUAAAAUGCAGUAGUGUAGACUUUAAAGAUUAUGAAACAGUUUAUUUGUGCUUUCCAAAGGACGAUUGUUUGUUAGUCUUUGCUUUCUCCUUU